rnacentral:rRNA from 1 species
AUUGAACGCUGGCGGCAGGCCUAACACAUGCAAGUCGAGCGGAUGAAGGGAGCUUGCUCCUGGAUUCAGCGGCGGACGGGUGAGUAAUGCCUAGGAAUCUGCCUGGUAGUGGGGGAUAACGUCCGGAAACGGGCGCUAAUACCGCAUACGUCCUGAGGGAGAAAGUGGGGGAUCUUCGGACCUCACGCUAUCUGAUGAGCCUAGGUCGGAUUAGCUAGUUGGUGGGGUAAAGGCCUACCAAGGCGACGAUCCGUAACUGGUCUGAGAGGAUGAUCAGUCACACUGGAACUGAGACCCGGUCCAGACUCCUACGGGAGGCAGCAGUGGGGAAUAUUGGACGAUGGGCGAAAGCCUGAUCCAGCCAUGCCGCGUGUGUGAAGAAGGUCUUCGGAUUGUAAAGCACUUUAAGUUGGGAGGAAGGGCAGUAAGUUAAUACCUUGCUGUUUUGACGUUACCAACAGAAUAAGCACCGGCUAACUUCGUG